GACGAACGCUGGCGGCGCGCCUCAUACAUGCAAGUCGAACGUGAAGCCCGGAGCUUGCUCCGGGUGGAAAGUGGCGAACGGGUGAGGAACACGUGAGGAACCUGCCCCGAAGACCGGGAUAACACCGGGAAACCGGUGCUAAUACCGGAUGCCCUCAUCGGAUCUCAUGAUCCGAUGAGGAAAUGGAUUCCGCUUCGGGAUGGCCUCGCGGCCUAUCAGCUUGGGGUGGGGUAACGGCCCACCAAGGCUUCGACGGGUAGCUGGUCUGAGAGGAUGUCCAGCCACACUGGGACUGAGACACGGCCCAGACUCCUACGGGAGGCAGCAGUAGGGAAUCUUGCGCAAUGAGCGAAAGCUUGACGCAGCGACGCCGCGUGC
rnacentral:rRNA from 1 species